GAUGAACGCUGGCGGCGUGCUUAACACAUGCAAGUCGAACGAAGCACUUUAUUUGAUUUCCUUCGGGACUGAUUAUUUUGUGACUGAGUGGCGGACGGGUGAGUAACGCGUGGGUAACCUGCCUUGUACAGGGGGAUAACAGUUGGAAACGGCUGCUAAUACCGCAUAAGCGCCCGGCAUCGCAUGAUGCAGUGUGAAAAACUCCGGUGGUAUAAGAUGGAACCGCGUUGGAUUAGCUAGUUGGUGAGGUAACGGCCCACCAAGGCGACGAUCCAUACCCGGCCUGAGAGGGUGAGCGGCCACAUUGAGACUGGGACACGGCCCAGACUCCUACGGGAGGCAGCAGUGGGGAAUAUUGCACAAUGGGCUAAAGCCUGAUGCAGCGACGCCGCGUGAGCGAAGAAGUAUUUCGAUAUGUAAAGCUCUAUCAGCAGGGAAGAUAAUGACGGUACCUAACUAAGAAGCACCGGCUAACUACGUG
rnacentral:rRNA from 1 species